rnacentral:SRP_RNA from 1 species
GCUGGGUGUGGUGGUGCGCGCCUAUAAUCCCAGCUACUCAGGAGGCUGAGGCAGGAGAAUCGCUUGAACUCAGGAGGUGGAGGUUGCAGUGAGCCGAGAUUGCGCCACUGCACUCCAGCCUGGGUGACAGAGUGAGACUCUGUCUCAG